GUUAGCAAGACACCUAAAAGCAGAAGCAACUGAGGCCCAGAGGAGCAAAGGCCCCCAAGCAAGGUCUCCAGCAGGCUGGGAGCACGGUGGAAAUGGAGCCCGCUCCCCUGUCUUCCACUGCCUGUUUAAGAGAAGAGCAGCCGCGAGGCCCUGGGCUGGUCUCGGGGGUGAGCUCUGCUGUGGAUACCCGCCAUGGCUUGUCUUCCCCGCCCACAGAUAAAUGCAACCUUUCUCUUCUA
ensembl:lncRNA LINC02205 long intergenic non-protein coding RNA 2205